CCUACGGGCGGCAGCAGUGAGGAAUAUUGGUCAAUGGACGCAAGUCUGAACCAGCCAUGCCGCGUGCAGGAAGACGGCUCUAUGAGUUGUAAACUGCUUUUGUACGAGAGUAAACGCAGAUACGCGUAUCUGUCUGAAAGUAUCUUACGAAUAAGGAUCGGCUAACUCCGUGCCAGCAGCCGCGGUAAUACGGAGGAUUCAAGCGUUAUCCGGAUUUAUUGGGUUUAAAGGGUGCGUAGGCGGUCGGAUAAGUUAGAGGUGAAAUCCCGCGGCUCAACUUCGGAAUUGCAUUUGAUACUGUCCGGCUAGAGUGUAGUUGAGGUAGGCGGAAUGUAUGGUGUAGCGGUGAAAUGCUUAGAGAUCAUACAGAACACCGAUUGCGAAGGCAGCUUACCAAGCUACUUCUGACGUUGAGGCACGAAAGCGUGGGGAGCAAACAGGAUUAGAUACCCGAGUAGUC
rnacentral:rRNA from 1 species